UUCUUGUAUAGUGGAAGAGGUUUUAGGGUUCUUUAUCCAUAUCGAACCGUCACUCACACACAUUUCACUAUCUUUUCUGAAACCCACCAGACCACUAUGUUCGCAGCCCUCCGGUGAACCACUGUGAAUCGCCAUUCCAUGUAAGUGCAAAAUCAAACUUCAGUUUGAACAAAGAAGGGAUUUGGGUGAUGGUUAUGUAAUUUCUAAGGGGGGCAAAAUCAAACACUGAUUUCAACAGAAGGAAAAAAUUAUCGCAUGUAACUCUUAUGUUGAGUUGAGAGAUGGGGACGACGACAAUAUGGCAGGUGCUAAACUAAUAGAACCGACAAUUUGCUGUAAUGGGUAUCGUUUUCUAUAUCCAAGUUGAAUUGGUUGAUUUUUCGAUGGAUUUGUUUGUGGCAGUGAUGAUUUAUGCAGGUUGAUGUCUCCUUGGUGGAUUUGGUUGUAGUGGUUUUUGUUUUUUGCAGUUUUCCCAACAACGCCAUUGCUGAUUUGGUCAUCAUCCCUCCAAGUUGUUUAAUUGAUUAGAUCUUCAUCCGGCCAACAAAACUGUUCUUACUUCUUUAUCACAUGCUCACAUCCGUCUACAACUUCAUCGACAAGUUUUCUACAACUGAACUUUUCAAUCAUCUAUUGAAGCUGGUACUUUGUUGGAGAGAGUAGACGCGUUUGAUGUGAAUGGGAACUCGGGUUUGAUUUCUAAUUUGUGGACGGAUCAGAAGGCCGGUGUUUCAUUUGCACAUCUUUAUGGGUAUGCAUCAAUAUUCCUCAAGCUCAAAAGAGUUCUUUGUUUUUUGGCAUGACGAAUAAGGUGUGGAGUUACAAAUGGGGAGCGACUUGAAGAGAUCAGUUGAUGUGUAUGUAUUUCGAAAUGGGGAGUGAUUUGAAGACCUGGGUAUUAGAUAAGUUGAUGCCCGUCUUGGGAUAUUCGCAACCCGCCUUGGUUCAACAUGUGUUUACUUUAUCUAAGAAAGCUUCAUCUCCUGAUGAUGUAUAUAAUAAUCUUAAAGACAUGGGGGGUGUCAUCUUCUAACAACACACGCAUUUGGUGAAGAAAUAUUCCAGAAGGUUGAAUAUAAGAGAUCUGAAUCAAAUUUGUUACAGUGAUUGACUUCCUGACAAAGAACCGGAGGAGUUAUAGCAUCAUCUAAAGAAAAAAAAAAGAUGCCGCCAGGAUGAUAAAAGUCUACUUUUAGUGAUCAUCGUUUAAUCAAUCUAAUUUUAAUAUGAAUUGAUUUUUGGUUUUUCAAGAAUUUAUGAAUUGAUUCCAAUUAUGAUUCCCUAAUCCUAUUUAAUAUGAAUUUAAUGUUUGGUUAUUUC
rnacentral:lncRNA from 1 species